CGCGGAGAGAACCGCUCACAGGAGCGAGCUAGUCUGUAAUGUGCCUCUUUGCCUGGCUCCUAGGUGUGUCACAAGUUAAUAAUGUCUCUACCUUGGAAUGAAAUUGGGUUGUUGCUGCCUGUCGUGUGAAUUAGACCAUGGUGAGAAAAGCACAAGCCCCAAGAUCCCUUCCUCUACACUCCUGGAAAUGCUCCCUGGCCUAGCUUUCCAUAAGGACCCAUUGCUUCACUUCAUUAAUAAGAAGCAAAUGGCUGAGACACUUGAGUUUCUCUUCAUGAGAAUACCUUGGAGACAGGAAUCCUCAAUAAGGAGAAUACCAUAAUAAAAACCUACGAAGGAUGAGUUAGGUCUACUGCAGCUGACUACAAAC
rnacentral:lncRNA from 1 species